GCUUUUUGCAGCAAUUAUGAGAAAACAGCUACAAAUGGAAAACCCUGUCCCAAGAUUCACAAACCAGUGUGUGGCACUGAUGGACAAACUUACCACAACCUCUGUGAAUUCUGCAAAGUAGCUAAGGAAAGAAACUGGAAGCUCAACUUCAAACAUGAAGGAAAAUAUUGAUUUGCCUCAUGCUGCAAUGCUGGAAGUGCCUACAAUUCACCUUUUGCAUCAGAAGAGUCUCUGUUUAUCCAGUCUCCAUUGCUAUGUAUUUCCCACCAGUUAUUUUGCAUAAAGAAAGCACUUUCAAUAAAGUUAUCUUGGCAGACUGA